GCAAGGUGUUGCCUCCGUUGUACAUGCCCUGAAUAAACCUGGCAAGUGUACUUUGGACGAUACCCAUUAAUUCCCAUUCACAUUCCAAAUAGUAUUGGUGCCUCAUUUUCUCUCCGCAUCUGUCUUCUCUCCGUUUCUUUGGCUGCAUCGUCCUCGCCCGACGCCAUGUUUCCUCCAAGCCGCUAGUGAAUCCUGCCAGCACCGGGCGAUUGCUGCCAUCGUUAGUCUAUUUUCAAUAGCAACACAACCUUCCUCUUUCCUCCAUCAUCUCCUG
rnacentral:lncRNA from 1 species